UUUUUUUGAGUGAUUACAAAUUCAAAAUGGAAAGCAAGUGUAAUAUAAGAGGGGCCUGGAGAUGACUAAUGAACAGAGAAAAUUGUUACUUUAGUGCUAGGAAUAUUUGCAUUGUUAAUUCUUGAGCCUAUUUUGAAAUUGGCCUUCCUUGAAUUGUGUAUGAAAUUGGCCAUAUUACAAAUUUCUGAUACUUUAUUGGGUAGUUGAAAUCUGUAAAUGAGCAGUUUCUUGUACUCCAUCAAUAGGAACAAAAAGAGUUAUAGUGAAAUGGCUGAGCUUGGUUGACUGGAACAAUGGAUUUGGCUGAAAACAGAGCUCAAAGUGGGCAAAAUCACUGAUGAGUAAAUAUCGCCGAGACUGCUAACUUCGCGAGAGUGUAACUCCAGAAGCAGAAGGUAUAUAAAUAGUGGGAAUCUCGUGGACACAUUCAGAACCUGUCAACCCAGAUUAUGCAAGUCAUUUAUCACAAGAGAAAAGUUUAGCAACCAAAAUGAUGCUUGAUAUAUAUAUAUAUACAGUGUACUGUAUUCACAAGUCACCUCAUUAUAGCCUUGAUUUUGUAAAUGGUAGGAAGUAAGGGAUAUACCAGUUA